rnacentral:rRNA from 1 species
UGUAACCAUGGCCAUGCUGUCUCCACCCGAGACUCAGUGAAAUCGAAUUCGCCGUGAAGAUGCGGUGUACCCGCGGCUAGACGGAAAGACCCCGUGAACCUUUACUACAGCUUGGCACUGAACAUUGAACCUACAUGUGUAGGAUAGGUGGGAGGCUUUGAAGGCGUGACGCCAGUUGCGCUGGAGCCGUCCUUGAAAUACCACCCUUGUAUGUUUGAUGUUCUAACGCAGGCCCAUGAAUCUGGGCCGCGGACAGUGCCUGGUGGGUAGUUUGACUGGGGCGGUCUCCUCCCAAAGAGUAACGGAGGAGCACGAAGGUUGGCUAAUCCUGGUCGGACAUCAGGAGGUUAGUGCAAUGGCAUAAGCCAGCUUAACUGCGAGACGGACAGGUCGAGCAGGUACGAAAGU